rnacentral:rRNA from 1 species
GACGAACGCUGGCGGCGUGCUUAACACAUGCAAGUCGAACGGUAAGGCCCUUCGGGGUACACGAGUGGCGAACGGGUGAGUAACACGUGGGUAAUCUGCCCUGCACUUUGGGAUAAGCCUGGGAAACUGGGUCUAAUACCGGAUAGGACCAUGGCAUGCAUGUGCUGUGGUGGAAAGCUUUUGCGGUGUGGGAUGGGCCCGCGGCCUAUCAGCUUGUUGGUGGGGUGAUGGCCUACCAAGGCGACGACGGGUAGCCGGCCUGAGAGGGUGUCCGGCCACACUGGGACUGAGAUACGGCCCAGACUCCUACGGGAGGCAGCAGUGGGGAAUAUUGCACAAUGGGCGCAAGCCUGAUGCAGCGACGCCGCGUGGGGGAUGACGGCCUUCGGGUUGUAAACCUCUUUCAAUAGGGACGAAGCGCAAGUGACGGUACCUAUAGAAGAAGCACCGGCCAACUACGUGCCAGCCGCCGCGGUAA